rnacentral:rRNA from 1 species
UACGUAGGGUGCAAGCGUUUGUCCGGAAUUAUUGGGCGUAAAGAGCUCGUAGGCGGUCUGUCGCGUCGGCUGUGAAAUCCCGGAGCUCAACUCCGGGUCUGCAGUCGAUACGGGCAAACUGGAGUACUGCAGGGGAGACUGGAAUUCCUGGUGUAGCGGUGGAAUGCGCAGAUAUCAGGAGGAACACCGGUGGCGAAGGCGGGUCUCUGGGCCAUAACUGACGCUGAUGCGCGAAAGCUAGGGGAGCAAACAGG